rnacentral:lncRNA from 1 species
AGUUCUAAAACAUCAUUAUAUGGAGUCUAACAUCAACAAAGACUAUGAGUGCACUUAAUAAUAAAUAAGAGCAAAAUUACAUCAACAACUAGAUGCAUAAGAAGGAUUAGAAGAUAACAAACUCAAACUUCAGCAAUAACCAUAAGAUCUACUCCUUACAACAAGAAAGACUUCAAAGUUUUUCAAAACUCACAAAUAAAGGUGAGUGGA